rnacentral:lncRNA from 1 species
CUCCCUUUAGGAUAGAUGAGUCUCGAGUCUGCGGUGUAGAGAUACUAGAAUGAGAGUGCAGACAGUUAAUAGAGAACAACUUGCACUGAGCAUAAUCAAUACGAAAAAUCACUUGGAUGUCUACUCACUCGUCAGUGGUUUUUUCGAUGCUACAGUAGUGUGACUGGUCCUUUGACCUAUGGUGUGUUGGCUAUUCGCAGUGAGGCUACUUAGUUUGACUGCAUAUUUUUUUGAUCCCUAGCCAUUCAGGUCCUUACUAUGUAUGUUGGCUAUUAUAGGUUCGGUUCGCUAUUUGGAGUAAGAUACAUCUAGAUAGAAUCUAUCAAUCUUAGUAGAAAAGGAGUACUCCUAUGCGAUUUGCAAGACUGAGUUCAGAAAGUCUCUGAUCAGAGCAAGAGUGAAUAUUGAAAAAGAGUUUCCAUGAAAUUUAUAAAUAAACUUGAGUUGAGCCAAUCUAGCAUAUGACUGAUGAUAGGGUUUGACGAGUUCUCCAUGAUCUCCGUCUAGUUGGGACUCACGAUAGAAAAAUUGUAUCAUAUGAUAACUGCACCUAGGGGUUCAUCUUUUUUGUUCUGUUGGGUUAUCACUACAUGCUGCUAAGCAUCACUGGUAGAUUGUGAGAACUUAGUAGGAUCAUUUUCGGAUCAACAAUCCAUAUUGAGGUGAGUUAGAAUCGUUCUAGUCUAUCGAAAGGAGUUUCGAUGAUACUGUGAUGGAGAUCAUGGUAUG